rnacentral:rRNA from 1 species
UACGUAGGGGGCAAGCGUUGUCCGGAAUCAUUGGGCGUAAAGAGCGUGUAGGCUGCUCGGGAAGUCCGCUGUAAAAGUCAAAGGCUCAACCUUUGAAUGUCAGUGGAUACUGCCGGGCUAGAGUCCGGAAGAGGCGAGUGGAACUCCUGGUGUAGCGGUGGAAUGCGCAGAUAUCAGGAAGAACACCAACGGCGAAGGCAGCUCGCUGGGACGGUACUGACGCUGAGACGCGAAAGCGUGGGGAGCAAACAGG